UGACCAUUUUUAUGAUCGCAGUGUAACAAAAAUUGUGUAUGCAAAGCUAGGAACAUGCCAUGAUUAAGAAUAUGGAACAUGACAAAUCUACUGUGAUCUGAACCAGAACAUUUUUUUCAGGUGGAAAUAACCCUGUGUUGAAUGAAUGACAGAAGAGAGACUUGGGGUUCCAGGCUGGAGCAAGAUGAGUGGUGUCAACUGCAUGUAAGCGCAAAAGUAACAGCCCCUACAAAGGUGGUCUUCAUCAAGAGUUACUGCUAGCUCAAGGAACUCUCCUGUGAAACUUCUUCUCAAGGCUGCAUGCCAGAUUCAGAUCUUUAGGCAGGGGAAAGGCCUAACCAUCCCAAGAGGAAUCUGGGCAUGGUAGGGUAAGAUGGCGCACAGAAACCCAUAUGUGGUGACUGCAGCCAUCAAGAAGACUUUUAGUGAGACAUUCAGGAAACCAGAAACCUAACAGGUUGCCAGGAGCUGCAGGAAUGAGACACAUCAAUCUGUGACUAUCCACAAGGGGCCAAAACCUCAUGGACUGAUUAUGGCGCUACUAAAUUCUGUGCAGUACUAAUUUGUGCAGCAAAUCCCAUUGGUUCCAAAGGAAAAUCACCUUAGGAUUUGCUUUAUGUGAAGAAAAUGAAUUAAACAUACGUGAAACCAUACAAAUAAAUCUCAAUGUCUUUUUAUAAAAGAGAAGAAACUCUCAAUAUAAUUCUUCCUUCUGAUAGC